GGAACUGUGAGACAGGUGCUGCAUGGCUGUCGUCAGCUCGUGUUGUGAAAUGUUGGGUUAAGUCCCGCAACGAGCGCAACCCUUAUCCUUUGUUGCCAGCGGUUAGGCCGGGAACUCAAAGGAGACUGCCAGUGAUAAACUGGAGGAAGGUGGGGAUGACGUCAAGUCAUCAUGGCCCUUACGACCAGGGCUACACACGUGCUACAAUGGCGCAUACAAAGAGAAGCGACCUCGCGAGAGCAAGCGGACCUCAUAAAGUGCGUCGUAGUCCGGAUUGGAGUCUGCAACUCGACUCCAUGAAGUCGGAAUCGCUAGUAAUCGUGGAUCAGAAUGCCACGGUGAAUACGUUCCCGGGCCUUGUACACACCGCCCGUCACACCAUGGGAGUGGGUUGCAAAAGAAGUAGGUAGCUUAACCUUCGGGAGGGCGCUUACCACUUUGUGAUUCAUGACUGGGGUGAAGUCGUAACAAGGUAACCGUAGGGGAACCUGCGGUUGGAUCACCUCCUUACCUUAAAGAA
rnacentral:rRNA from 1 species